UAGGGAAUCUUCGGCAAUGGGGGGAACCCUGACCGAGCAACGCCGCGUGAGUGAAGAAGGUUUUCGGAUCGUAAAGCUCUGUUGUUAAGGAAGAACGAGUGUGAGAAUGGAAAGUUCAUGCUGUGACGGUACUUAACCAGAAAGGGACGGCUAACUACGUGCCAGCAGCCGCGGUAAUACGUAGGUCCCGAGCGUUGUCCGGAUUUAUUGGGCGUAAAGCGAGCGCAGGCGGUUAGAAAAGUCUGAAGUGAAAGGCAGUGGCUCAACCAUUGUAGGCUUUGGAAACUGUUUAACUUGAGUGCAGAAGGAGAGAGUGGAAUUCCAUGUGUAGCGGUGAAAUGCGUAGAUAUAUGGAGGAACACCGGUGGCAAAAGCGGCUCUCUGGUCUGUAACUGACGCUGAGGCUCGAAAGCGUGGGGAGCGAACAGG
rnacentral:rRNA from 1 species